rnacentral:lncRNA from 1 species
CUAAAUUAUCAUACAAUCAGAUUAAGUUGGUGGAACUAAAACAGGGCGCAUUACCUCAAACAGCCAGCAUUUACAAGAACCAAAUUGAUUUUUUUUUCUUACAAAAGUCAGGCAACUUCCAAAUUAAGUCACUUUUUACCAUAUACCCUGGAGAAUAACAUGGCCCGACACACCACACGUCCCACUUAUCUAGUUCAAGCGAGUAACAUAACGUGAGAAACUGCACUGUGUAAUUCCUUUAUUUUCUGCAUAUUAGUGCUUUACCAACACUACAACCAUAAAGAACACAAUUCCAAGUACUGUACUUUUUAGUUUGGGGAGAUCACAGUCUACAGACUCAUUUACUUAUAUUAAACAAGAUUAACCUCAUUCAAAACUUACUGCAGUUUAUAAAUUCACAUAAAUACAGAAAUGGAUGCAAUUAAACAACUUCAGGAUCUUAUUUUUAAAAUUCUUAGAUAAUUUUUUCUGCAGGCUAUAAUUACCUGCUCCAGUCACCAAUGGUUAUUGUUCAAUUUAACUACAUCAAUUAUAAACCUCUUAUAUCCUUAAAGAAAAUUUUAAGUGAAAAUUACAAUUUCUUACCAAAAGGUUUAGGGUUUUCCAAAUUUCAAAUAUUUGCUUCCCCCUCCCCCCUUUCCAGUCAAACAUUUCAAAUAAACUAAAAAUAACCACAUCUCACCUGCAACAUUCAAUAAUAGCAAUCACUUGAUGUAUAAAAUUUUAACUAUGCCCCCAGUUAUUUUAAGACACAAAAAAAUGGCUGCCUACCAAUCUGUCUUCACAAGUUAGAAAUACUACAUUUAAGAUUUAACAUGAGGGUUUCAAGUUUCCUCCAGUUUAGGCAUUUAUACCUUUGUGCUUGUUUUGUUUCAGGAUGUUACUAUAGCAUUGAUAUUGGAUAACCCAUAUUUAUAUACUUUAAAAUGCAAUCAUUUGAAACACUAAAAAUUACAUUUAUGGUGGAGCUUUGGAAAUUUUAGAAAGCAACCAGUGUUCUUAGAUGUGUUUAUCAGCCUCAUUUCUAGAGCUCUUUCUACUAAAGUGAAACUGAGAACUUCGUACUUUAGUUGUAUCCUGAAAUCAAAAAAAUCCCUCUGCACCAACAGGAGCCUACAUGAGAAUACCCUUUUGCAUCUGCUUUAAGUAAAAUGUUUGUUAAGAGUUUUACUUUGAAUAGUUCAUUUUUUUAUAGUCUUACACUUCUCAUACAUCUUUGGUAAAAGCUCCAUUAUACAAUAUGGCCAAAGUGUGAAGGACCAAUACUGUCCAACUAUACCAUGAUAUCCCGCUCAAUUUUAGUUUUCAGACACCCUCAUAAACAAAACCCACUCCACCUUUUCCUGUAUACUGCCUUUGCAGUCUACAUUUCUGAAAUUCCCUAUUUAAUUCCUUGAGGAUCACUAAAAUUAAUCCUUAAGGCUAUAUAGGAACCAGAUGCUGCUUUACAAUUCUGCAUCAAGCAUUAACAUUUGGUUCAAAAUAUUAUCAUAGUGGUCGCAAUCCAGUUACUGGUCCUAACCAGCUAACCAAGUAAUCUUGUUAGGAUCUGGAUAUCACCAGCGAGCACACUGCUUACACAUGAAGAAAAAUAAGUUUACAUUCAUUGUCAUCUGUAGGUUCUUUCUCUUCAUCCUACGUCCCCUUUAAUAGUCAUCCCUCAAGUCUACACAUCAUUCAUUCAUCACGCUUCCUUCCUUAAAGGAGACAGUGUACUAUUGAACCAACAGGAUAUCUUUUUUAUUAUUUGCAUGAGUUAAUCCUACAAACAAAAUUAAAUACCUCUUUUAUAAAACAUCUUUUCCAGUGUUCUAAUUGAUGGAGAUGCGGAUCACUCAUCUAUAAAAAAUGACUUACAGCUUCAGCUUAAUCAGUUGCUAUAAUGUGAAAACAGGAAUGUGUAUUUUUUUCAACUAGGUAAAAGGUGCAUAUAAUUUGAAUUGUUAAAUGUUUUAUUAAUGAACAAAGUAAACCUUUUAGUAAUUUUUAAAUUACUGGUCUUAGGUGUUUGAAACAAGGUAAAAGUAUACUGGUCUUAGAUAUAAAAGGUCACAUUUGAAAUUACUAAGUUAGAACUCAUAAGGAAGGGGGGGGAAGGCCUUAAAUAUAAAAGACAAACGGCAGUUUGAUUAAGCAAUAAUUUUCAGUUUACUAGAUGAAACAGACUUGCAACAUAGUCUGCAUGAAUGCAAAAUAAG